rnacentral:tRNA from 1 species
GCGGGCGUGAUGAAAUUGGCAGACAUGCUGGCUUUAGGUGCCAGUGCUUGAGAGAGCGUGUGGGUUCGAGUCCCUCCGCCCGCACCA